rnacentral:rRNA from 1 species
CCUACGGGAGGCAGCAGUGAGGAAUAUUGGUCAAUGGACGAGAGUCUGAACCAGCCAAGUAGCGUGAAGGAUGACUGCCCUAUGGGUUGUAAACUUCUUUUAUAUGGGAAUAAAAUGUUCCACGUGUGGGAUUUUGUAUGUACCAUAUGAAUAAGGAUCGGCUAACUCCGUGCCAGCAGCCGCGGUAAUACGGAGGAUCCGAGCGUUAUCCGGAUUUCUUGGGUUUAAAGGGAGCGUAGGUGGAUUGUUAAGUCAGUUGUGAAAGUUUGCGGCUCAACCGUAAAAUUGCAGUUGAAACUGGCAGUCUUGAGUACAGUAGAGGUGGGCGGAAGUCGUGGUGUAGCGGUGAAAUGCUUAGAUAUCACGAAGAACUCCGAUUGCGAAGGCAGCUCACUGGACUGCAACUGACACUGAGGUUCGAAAGUGUGGGUAUCAAACAGGAUUAGAUACCCUGGUAGUC